rnacentral:rRNA from 1 species
AUUGAACGCUGGCGGCGUGCUUAACACAUGCAAGUCGAGCGGUAACAGGCGUAGCAAUACGUGCUGACGAGCGGCGAACGGGUGAGUAAUGCUUUGGAAUCUGCCUAGUAGUGGGGAAUAACCUGGGGAAACUCAGGCUAAUACCGCAUACGACCUUAGGGUGAAAGCGGGGGAUCGCAAGACCUCGCGCUAUUAGAUGAGCCAAAGUCGGAUUAGCUAGUUGGUGGGUAAAGGCCUACCAAGGCGACGAUCCGUAGCUGGUCUGAGAGGACGACCAGCCACACUGGAACUGAGACACGGUCCAGACUCCUACGGGAGGCAGCAGUGGGGAAUAUUGGACAAUGGGGGCAACCCUGAUCCAGCGACGCCGCGUGUGUGAAGAAGG